rnacentral:rRNA from 1 species
UACGUAGGGGGCAAGCGUUGUCCGGAAUUAUUGGGCGUAAAGAGCGCGUAGGCGGUCCGGUAAGUCGGUUGUGAAAGUCGGGGGCUCAACCCUCGGAUGCCGAUCGAUACUGUCGGGCUAGAGUCCGGAAGAGGCGAGUGGAAUUCCUGGUGUAGCGGUGAAAUGCGCAGAUAUCAGGAGGAACACCGGUGGCGAAGGCGGGUCUCUGGGCCGUAACUGACGCUGAGGAGCGAAAGCGUGGGGAGCGUACAGG